GACGAACGCUGGCGGCGUGCUUAACACAUGCAAGUCGAGCGGUAAGGCCCUUUCGGGGGUACGACGAGCGGCGAACGGGUGAGUAACACGUGGGUGACCUGCCCUCAGCUCUGGGAUAAGCCCGGGAAACUGGGUCUAAUACCGGAUAUGACUCCAUGACGCAUGUUGUGGGGUGGAAAGCCUUGUGCGGCUGAGGAUGGGCCCGCGGCCUAUCAGCUUGUUGGUGGGGUGAUGGCCACCAAGGCGACGACGGGUAGCCGGCCUGAGAGGGCGACCGGCCACACUGGGACUGAGACACGGCCCAGACUCCUACGGGAGGGCAGCAGUGGGGAAUCUUGCGCAAUGGGCGAAAGCCUGACGCAGCGACGCCGCGUGAGGGAUGACGGCCU
rnacentral:rRNA from 1 species